GCUCACUUCUGCUGGGAACCUGCACUCUCCAUCAACUCCUCCCUUCAACUCCUGCUGGAUCCAUUUCCAAAUCCCUAUCCACUGACUCUCAGAACCUCUCCUGAUUCAAGUCCUCUGUUCAUCUCCUGGACCUGCCUGACUGCCUUCUUCUCUGCAUGUGCCUGGGACAAGCACCAUCUCUGACAGCACCAUCACCUCGUUGCCUGUAGUCUGGGACAGACCUGUAAGGAAGAGGCUCUGGAGCAGCCGACUAAAGCUAACGGAAUGGUUCCUGUGCAUGGAGAGAGCUGCUGUUCCACCACCAUGUGAUAAAAAAUAAAUCUCUUUACAGAUGAGUAGAAAAAAGCCUGGAGAGGGAUGUGUCAUCUCUCAUCUCAAGAAUGGGCAACUGGUAAUCCCACUCCUGGAUCUACAUACCCAGCAAUGGAAAUCAGGAUCUCGAAGAACUAUUGUCACUCCCAUGUUUAUUGCAACAUUAUUCUCAAUAGCCAAUAUAUAGAAAUGACCAACGUGUCAAU